GCAUGGCUGAAUUCUGUUUUACUCUGUCAGUAGUAAAUGCAGUCAGACACCAUGCUAAAGGAUUUCUUUCACUUAUGAACUCAAUCAAAGGAGAUGAGUGCUGUUCUGUGCAUUAUUCUUCUGUCAGAGUGAAUACAACA